rnacentral:lncRNA from 13 species
UGCUCGACGCAGUCGACACUGAGCCCCUUGCUGCGUGCAGUCUGCACUAGACUUUACUGCUGAAAUACUUCGAAGCGUGUGAUUGACCGUACUCCAAACAUUUCAAGUCAUUUGUAGCUGUUUGUAGCGAAACUUUGACUGCACCUAGUAUCUUGUCGAAUUAUUACGUUUGAUGCUAUUGUGCAUUGUUAUUGCGCAUGUGUAAGGAUUUCUGUGGCAGUAGGUGCCGUUGGUGGUAGCGACAUCACUCAACACGUGUAAACAAAGAUAGCCGGACAACAGUGAAGAAAAGUGUAUGAAACAUGCGGAAUCGUUGCAUAUCCAUGCUCAUAAGAUUAACAGGUUUAUCGUAAAAACCUUAUAUGAAACCAUAUAUGAA